AUUGAACGCUGGCGGCCGGCCUAACACAUGCAAGUCGAACGAGUGGCGGACGGGUGUGUAAUGUCUGGGAAAUUGCCCGAUGGAGGGGGUUAACUACUGGAAACGGUAGCUAAUCCCGCAUACCAUCGGAUGUGCCCAGAUGGGAUUAGCUAGUUGGUGGGGUAGUGGCUCACCUAGGCGACGAUCCCUAGCUGGGCUGCGGGGAUGACCAGCCACACUGGACCUGAGAGACGGUCCAGACGCCUACGGGAGGCAGCAGUGGGGAAUAUGGCGCAAUGGGCGCAAGCCGGAUACAGCCAUGCCGCGUGUAUGGAGAAGGCCUUCGGGUUGUAAAGUACUUUCAGCGAGGUGGCGGUACUCGGAGAAGAAGCGCCGGCUAACUCCGUGCCAGCCGCCGCGGUAAUUC
rnacentral:rRNA from 1 species